CGAGGCGCCACUGAGGUCCUUAUCAGAAUAGAAACACGAGGCCCCGUACUCGUAGGACGCCCGGUUGCAGGCCAGGACCGAGUUGGACUGUUGGUAGAAACAAGGUGAGGUGUACGUCUUGUCCGGGAGGCUCGACGCCCCGUACGAGGCCGGGAAGGGCCUCAGCGCGUCAUAGCCAGCCGGGUAGAGGGGCAGCUGGCCCAAGAAGGAGUCCUGGCCGCUGGGCAGGCUCCCGGGGAAAGUGGGAUUCACAAAAUAGGAACUCAUUUGCGCGCCCCUCUGCAGGACUGUGAUUUGUUGUGUAUUAGUACAUCUGGCUAUAACUAUUAGUAGUCAUCGAACUGGUUUGUUUCUGGAUGGCCGAACGCCAAAAGCGACAGCAGCAAAUCGCACCAGCUGACGCGGCGGCGGCCAAUGGGAGCGAGCGCUGGAGCCCGCUCCCCGGGGACCGCGGCGACCGAGGCAGCAAAGUUACAAACAGCCCCCAGCCCGCCCGCCCGCCGCCCGCCCGGCAGAUUAAUGGGCGCGCACAGCCAGCCGGCCCGGCUCUCUUUCCGAACGCCAGCGGCGGGCACGGCCCGGGCAGGGGCGUGCGAAUCAGGCCGGGGUAGGGGCACUAGAGUCCGGGCCGCCGCAAAGGCCCCGCCAGGCCCGCUCCCUCCUCCUCCCCUUCUUGCCUUUUCGGAUUUUGCUGGUUUUUCUUUCCAAACAGGAAACCUGACAGCCCCGCGCCGGGAGGGGCGGUGACCACGACGGCUUAGCUCCCGGCCGGCUUGCCCGCCCCGCAGGGCUCUGAGCGUGCCCCUCCCUCUGCACUCCCCCGCCCGUGGGUGCGGGUUCCGGGACUGAAGAAGGGGGCCUGAGAAACCAGGCCUUCACGCCCAGCUCCUCACUCCUGCGUCUUAGGAAUCCGUGCAUCCCUUCCCUCUUUCCUUCCCACUCCCACCAAGGGCCUGGGCCUCGCUACCGCCUGGAGCCGAAGGCUCACCUCGAGCUGACCAGAUCGCGGCUAAACGUCUUCCCCUGGCAGCCCCAUCCGCCCACAUACAACACGUCUCCUUUGAGUCCAGACGGGCUCCCCUCCAAUGGCCAACGACCGCCUGGCCUCAAAGCACCCCACAAGCUGUGCGUCCCCGUACCACCUUUGAACCCAGGAAUCCAGAGGCCAGAAACCACUGGUUUCAACAAGAAAGGGACCUACAAGGGAGUGGCCUGGAGACUGAGCUUCGAAGCAAAACGGGGGAACCCGCUCCCCUCACCCAGCCCUUGGGACUCGUCCUCUCAACACCCGAAGUGCUCAGAGCUGAGACAGAUCCAGAUGUGGAAUAUCUGUCCUCUUUCUGGAGGCACGGCAUCCCAAGGUCCCUGCCGAGCCAGGCAUAGAGGGCAGCUGGGACGUCCCAAAGGCUGUGGGGUAAUUGAUGUGCUUGGUUUCUGGGGUGCCCGACAGCCCGCACUUUCCUGGGGUGUACCCUCUCCCCUGCCUUUCCUGGGACUGCUGGGGGCCUGCCGGUUGCAGUUGCCCCAGUGCCGGGAACAGUUGCCUCACGGGCUCCAGGAAUCCUCUGCAUUGCUUUUGCCGUUGUCACAGGCCUGGCCUUUCCCAGACAGGAGGUGAAAAGUGUGUCCCUGGCUGCCCUUGCUUGAUAGGUGUGCCUUGGAGAUAGUUGACUUUUACAGCACAUGGAUCAAUCUCAUUUUGUAAAACGUGAUAUCUUUCCAAUGGCAUUUUUACAACUGUAUUUGUUGGGCUUGUAAAACCCUUGAAUUAGCUUUAAAAUCCUCAAUUCUGUGGAGGCUGAAGAAAGACUAUUUAUACAAUUUGGUUGAAUUUCCGGAGGAUGUUUCUAAGAUCUGUAAAACUCUGAUGAAUGCAGGCUGAUGGGGUUCAGGACUUGGGGGUGGCAAUGCCCUCCUGGAAUCUGACAACGACUUCCUUAAUCUCCUCCUUGCUUUUUGAUUUUUUUUUGCCCCUGCCCUCACUUCCCUCAAAGGGAGAAAACUGGGAAAGGACUGGGCUAAGGGUGGCCUCCACAGAACCUAGCAAGCACCCUAGAAAGUGGCUGUUGCCCACGCGAUGGGGUCUACACCCAGAAGCCUUCUCCCUGUGCCCCAAUCAAUCCACGCUGGGAAAGUUUCUCCUUUGCAUAUGUAAAAAGGGCCUGGCAGGAGAAGAGAGAAUGUAACAUUUCCCUGGAAUUUCUUCAGGGAAUGGACCCGAUAGGUGAAAAUGAAAACUCAAGUAAAAAAUUUUAAAGGGAACUAUUUUUUUUAAGGCUAUGUCCAAAGAAAAUCAUGUUUGAGUUAUUGUUUCCUACACAAGACCAUCAGAUGACAGUGACGUCAAGCAAAUUAUUAUUAUAUAAGACAAAAAUAACUGUUGGGAGAUGUUGAGAAAUGUUUACAUUUAUAAUUUCUGCUUCAUACCUCCAGGUCUCACACAGCAUUGGGAGUGAUGGCAGUUGACUACAUAUACUACUAUUGUUAUUAUUUGUUAUGGUUUGACUUAGAUUCUUGAUCUAAUAAUUACCCCCCAGACAAUGACAGAAUUUGAUUUCUCAGCUAAGAGCCAAAAACCAUUGUGUUUCUAGCUUCUAUAGGCAGUGAGACAGAAAAAAAUAAAUUAAAUUGAAAUCUCCAGGUGUUAGCCAAGGCUGGUACAUAUCAGGUUGGCAACGGCCCAAUUUAUUUCUCCAACCAGCUUUAGGUGCAUAUAUAGAGAGAGAGAGAGAGAGAGAGAGAGAGAGAGAGAGAGGCACACACACACACUCAGGCAAGAAUAGGAGCCCCAGACGCUGGAGGGAGCCUCUCCUGGGAUAGUGAGAAUGGCUAUCAGGACUCUCUCUUCUAGGUCAAAGCCACAGAGAAGGUCUACUUACCUUUCAGCUGCUCUUCAAGGGGGACUGGAUGGUGAGCAGGGCCCCACAGUCCGCCCUUUCUCUGGGCUGCCCACUCGACCUCCGCCAGCUUGGAGGGCGGCCCGCCGGUGUGUGGGGUGGACCUUGAGGGCCACCCGGGCCGCCUGGAUCUGUAGCCCAGGCCAGAGCCCAUAGCAUACAGGUGCGGCCUCUGCCUGUCAGAGGCCCUCGCCUGACGCCAAAGCCCGCCUUCCUUGCCAUAGCCAAUCCUCCUCAGGGCCAGCCAGGCCUGCAGGCCUCGGGGCCAGGAAUGGUCUCUCCGAUUUGCAAAUCCCAAAGCGGGCGCCUUCCCCGAACCAGCGUGCGCCCCGGGGACGCCUUGGGACGCGCAGUUUGGACAGAAGCAGCCAUAACGUGCCAGGCCGCCUGUGCAACCAGUCUCCAUGGCGCUGGGGGUAGGGGGAGGACCCGAGUCUAGUCGGGCUUCCAGCUCCUAUCAGGGGUGGCCAAGGCGGGGGAGGUUCCCGACAGGCCCUGGGAGGCCGCCCCUCAGGUCCUCCCUUGCCCCCCUCUGCUCGGCCUGCUUGGGAAUCUCUGAGGGGCCCGCGCAGCAGUCGCGCCAGGCUGCACGACGCGGGGCUGCGGCUGGCGUCGGUCCCGGCGACGGCCACAGCGUGGCAGCAGCGAGCGCCCAGCGCGGUCGCAAUAAAUAAUCUGCCCGCGGCAGCCGCAGUCAGGCAGCCCGCGGCCCUGCGACGCAAACGCGCAGCUUUAUCCUCCCUGAGUGCACCCACAGCGCCGGUGGACGUCCCAAACAUCUACAGCCCCUUCUUAAUUUUCUAAUGCACACCAAGGUAUUAUCUUAAGGUGGAAAAACAACAACAACGACCAGAACCACAGAACAAACAAAAAGAACUCGAGCCCAGAACCUCAGGAUCCUUUCUGGUCGCAGUCCCAGGAAGCUCCCGGGGCAAAUCUGGCCGACGCGCACCCAGGCCAAGCAACGGUCUGUGCCACCGCUCCACAUAAAGUCAGUGCCCACGGUACCCUCCGUGCCUCCCGGGCGGCUUCACAGUCCCCUCCCGGCUCGCGGAAAGUGGGGCGCGCGGUCGGCGGCCCGCUGCGCCGAUGUGGGGGUGGUGGGGUCCCCCUAUCGCCCAGACGCGGUUUGCGUCCUUCUUUCAACCUUAGCUGCGGGCCCCUGCCACUCUCAAUAACACCAGCACAUUCUCUGCACCGAAACUUCCCGCCAAGCAACACCCAGCCAAUUAACCCCAUCCUCUCCUCCAACACAGAGUUCCACCCACGCACCUAGUCCCUCUCCCCGCGCUUCAGACACAUCUGUCAUCGGAAAACCGCGUGAAAGGAAGCAGGCAAUCAGCAGAAGAACCUGGCCGAAUUAGUAAGUUUUUGUUUGUUUGUUUUUUUUCCCCCUCAUUCUACCUUUCUCUCCAGAAACCGAGUCCCUCAGAAUAGAAGGUGCUGUGUUGACACUAAUAAAAAAGCAGGUCGAUUAAUUCACUUUGCCCUCACCUCUUCCCACCUCCCCAGGUCGGGAACUGUCUUCAAUUGUUGGGAAAUUCAACCGAGCCAACUGGGUCAUGAAUGAAAAAAAAAAAAAAAUCCAAACCCGGGAGAUUGGCAAGGAACGCGGAGGGCAGGGCCACUUCUUUUUGGGCUCGGCAAGGUCGCUGGGGAAGAGGGGAGAGACCUCAGUGCUCCUGCCCCAUGCCAGGGCGCUGUGCCACUGAAAGGAGGCUGGCAUUCACUGCCAUGGUGAGCAAGAGAGAGGAGAGAGGGAGAGUGUGUGUGUGUGUGCGCGCGCGCGCGCACGUGUGAAGGGGGGCAAGUGUGAACGGUGAGUGUGGGCGAGGGUGAGUAUGCCCCUCUUCAAAGCCGCCCCAGUGCCCUCUCCCACCGCCGCCGGCGCCGGCUGCCAUCUCACCACCUUUGCUCCUGUCUCCCCACAUGUCUCACCUUCAGAUGGCGGCUCCCAGAAGCUCCUGCCCCUCUGACAGCUGUCGCUUGGGCAGCCGGGGAGACGAAUUGUCCUCCUUCCUGGUGCCAGAGGACGCAGGAAAUUAGCCAGGUUGCGAGUUGCGAAGCGGCCGCCGCGGCGCCGGGAACUGGACGCGCCCCACCUCCAGCGGGAGCGGCCGGGCCGGGCCGGGCCGGGGCCUCGUCUCGCUCGCCAUCGCCGGACAAAGCGCAGCCAAGCCCGGCUGGAAGGCAGAGCUCCGAAGCAGGCAGGACGGAGCGGAGCAAAAGAAUGCGGCUCUAUUCUCGCAAGGGAAAUUAUAAAAAAGUUCAUGUUCACGGUUCCCAUCCACAUGACCGACAGCGGCCAAUGGAAGGGCCGAACAACUCAUAAAGUUGUAUUGCAAAGUUGUAAA
rnacentral:lncRNA from 1 species